UACAGAGGUCUCAAGCGUUGUUCGGAUUCAUUGGGCGUAAAGGGUGCGUAGGCGGCGCGGUAAGUCGGGUGUGAAAUCUUGGAGCUUAACUCCGAAACUGCAUUCGAUACUGCCGUGCUUGAGGACUGGAGAGGAGACUGGAAUUUACGGUGUAGCGGUGAAAUGCGUAGAUAUCGUGGAGAACACCCGUGGCGAAAGCGGGUUUCUGGCAGAUUCCUGACGCUGAGGCGCGAAGGCUAGGGGAGCAAACGGG
rnacentral:rRNA from 1 species